GCGUCAUUUCAACCCUCAAGCCCCCCGGGGCUUGGUCUUGGGCCCUGCCGGCAGCGGCUGGCCUCAAACUCAGUGGCGGUGCAUCGGGCUCUACGCGUAGUACCUAAACCCUCGCGUGUGAGCCCCGGUGGACGCUCGCCAGCAACCCCCCACCUCCCAUGGUUGACCUCGGAUCAGGUAGGGAUACCCGCUGAACUUAA
rnacentral:misc_RNA from 1 species